AGCGAACGCUGGCGGUAGGCCUAACACAUGCAAGUCGAGCGCCGUAGCAAUACGGAGCGGCAGACGGGAGAGUAACACGUGGGAACGUACCCUUUGGUUCGGAACAACCCAGGGAAACUUGGGCUAAUACCGGAUAAGCCCUUACGGGGAAAGAUUCAUCGCCGAAGGAUCGGCCCGCGUCUGAUUAGCUUGUUGGUGGGGUAAUGGCCCACCAAGGCGACGAUCAGUAGCUGGUCUGAGAGGAUGAUCAGCCUCACUGGGACUGAGACACGGCCCAGACUCCUACGGGAGGCAGCAGUGGGGAAUAUUGGACAAUGGGCGCAAGCCUGAUCCAGCCAUGCCGCGUGGGUGAUGAAGGCCCUAGGGUUGUAAAGCCCUUUCGGCGGGGAAGAUAAUGACGGUACCCGCAGAAGAAGCCCCGGCUAACUUCGUGCCAGCAGCCGCAGUAACAC
rnacentral:rRNA from 1 species